rnacentral:misc_RNA from 1 species
GAAUUAAUUGAAUUCAAUAACCAAUGGCGGAUGCUAGCAAAAAGAGGGACAUUGGAUGAAAUUAUGACACUCAAGGAGCGACGAAAGAUUCGGUCACUUGUAACUUUUGUGGGAGUACUUUUAAUGGUGGAAUAAUUCGACACAAACAACAUUUAGUGGGUGAUUUCCAGAAUGUUAAACAAUGUGCCGCUUGUCCGUCGGAAAUUAGAGAAGAAAUAAGGGCUUAUAUGCAAAACAAAAUAGCUAAUAAUCCCAAAUUUCAAAUGAGGCAACCGGAAGAAUUUGUUGAUAUUGAUGAUCUUGAUGAAAUGGAUGAUUAUGCGGAAAUGAGGCCUCCCUCCAAAACUCAAAGGAUAUCUUCUAGUGGAGGUUCAUCCACCGCACAGAGUGUGAUGAAAGGACCUUUGAACCUCUAUUUUUCACAAAAAUCAACACAAAAAGGAGGCUUAGAAAAAGGAGGAGGAAUCGAAGAAACAAAGAAAAUUCUAAGAGAGCGUGCGGUAAGUGCUUUUGCAAUUUGGAUGUAUGAUGCCGGGCUCCCUUUUAAUUGCGUCAACCACAAAUCAUUCGAUAAAUUUAUUGAGGCGGUUGGACAACAUGGCCCCGGAAUGAAGCCUCCUACAUUCCAUGAAGUUAGAGUCACUCACCUUAAAAAAGAGGUGGAUAAAGUAGAAAAAAUUGUUGAGGAGCAUAAAGUGCAAUGGACAAAGUUUGGUUGUUCCAUUAUGAUGGACAAAUGGACGGCACGAAAUGGCAAAAUGAUCAUCAAUAUUUUGGUGAAUUGUCCAAUCGGUAGUGUAUUUCUUGGUUCGGUUGAUGCUAGCAAUGAAUCUACCGAUUCCACCAAAAUGUACAAGUUAUUUGAAAGCACUAUCGAAAGAAUUGGACCGGAAAAAGUGGUACAAAUUGUCACCGAUAAUGCUAGUGAGAAUGUCAAAGCGGGAAGUAUGAUAAUGGGUGCGUAUCCACACAUUUAUUGGACUCCAUGUGCCGCUCAUUGCAUCAACUUGAUAUUUGGUGACAUAUUCAAGGUUAAGCCAUAUGCUUCCGUUUUUAAGAAGGCCAUCAGAAUCCAUUCUUACAUUAGUCAAAGGCCG